rnacentral:tRNA from 1 species
AUUAUAGUGGGCUAUGGUGGAAACUGUUUAAUUGGGAAUCAAAUAAUCUAGGUUCAAAUUCUGGCACUAAUA